UCGGGCGGGCGUAGCAAUACGUCAGCGGCAGACGGGUGAGUAACACGGUGGGAACGUACCUUUUGGUUCGGAACAACACAGGGCAAACUUGUGCUAAUACCGGAUAAGCCCUUACGGGGAAAGAUUUAUCGCCGAAAGAUCGGCCCGCGUCUGAUUAGCUAGUUGGUGAGGUAAUGGCUCACCAAGGCGACGAUCAGUAGCUGGUCUGAGAGGAUGAUCAGCCACAUUGGGACUGAGACACGGCCCAAACUCCUACGGGAGGCGGCAGUGGGGAAUAUUGGACAAUGGGCGCAAGCCUGAUCCAGCCAUGCCGCGUGAGUGAUGAAGGCCCUAGGGUUGUAAAGCUCUUUUGUGCGGGAAGAUAAUGACGGUACCGCAAGAAUAAGCCCCGGCUAACUUCGUGCCAGCAGCCGCGGUAAUACGAAGGGGGCUAGCGUUGCUCGGAAUCACUGGGCGUAAAGGGUGCGUAGGCGGGUCUUUAAGUCAGGGGUGAAAUCCUGGAGCUCAACUCCAGAACUGCCUUUGAUACUGAGGAUCUUGAGUUCGGGAGAGGUGAGUGGAACUGCGAGUGUAGAGGUGAAAUUCGUAGAUAUUCGCAAGAACACCAGUGGCGAAGGCGGCUAACUGGCCCGAUACUGACGCUGAGGCACGAAAGCGUGGGGAGCAAACAGGAUUAGAUACCCUGGUAGUCCACGCCGUAAACGAUGAAUGCCAGCCGUUAGUGGGUUUACUCACUAGUGGCGCAGCUAAACGCUUUAAGCAUUCCGCCUGGGGAGUACGGUCGCAAGAUUAAAACUCAAAGGAAUUGAACGGGGGCCCGCAC
rnacentral:rRNA from 1 species